rnacentral:rRNA from 1 species
GAGGAAUAUUGGUCAAUGGGCGAGAGCCUGAACCAGCCAAGUAGCGUGCAGGAUGACGGCCCUAUGGGUUGUAAACUGCUUUUGUAUGGGGAUAAAGUCAAUCACGUGUGAUUGUUUGCAGGUACCAUACGAAUAAGGACCGGCUAAUUCCGUGCCAGCAGCCGCGGUAAUACGGAAGGUCCGGGCGUUAUCCGGAUUUAUUGGGUUUAAAGGGAGCGUAGGCUGGAGAUUAAGUGUGUUGUGAAAUGUAGACGCUCAACGUCUGACUUGCAGCGCAUACUGGUUUCCUUGAGUACGCACAACGUUGGCGGAAUUCGUCGUGUAGCGGUGAAAUGCUUAGAUAUGACGAAGAACUCCGAUUGCGAAGGCAGCUGACGGGAGCGCAACUGACGCUGAAGCUCGAAGGUGCGGGUAUCGAACAGGAUUAGAUACCCUGGUAGUCCGCACAGUAAACGAUGGAUGCCCGCUGUUGGUACGUGGUAUCAGCGGCUAAGCGAAAGCAUUAAGCAUCCCACCUGGGGAGUACGCCGGCAACGGUG